AAUAAGUGCAGCAGUGGAAAUCCGUGUCCAACGUUUGACCGUCCGUCUUAUUUGAAAAAACUAUGAAAAAAAUUAAAAAAAGAUAAGUCACGUAUAAAGUAUUAAUCAUAUUUUAUCAUCUAACAACAAUGAAAAUAAGACGGACAGUUAAACGUUGGCACAGAAACCUAUGUUUUGUCUUUUU
rnacentral:pre_miRNA from 1 species